UACGUAGGGGGCGAGCGUUGUCCGAAGUUACUGGGCGUAAAGCGCGCGUAGGCGGGCUCUUAAGUGAGGGGUGAAAGGUUUGGGCUCAACCCAAACACUGCCUUUCAUACUGGGAGCCUUGAGUGCGGGAGAGGCGAGUGGAAUGGUCGGUGUAGCGGUGAAAUGCGUAGAUAUCGAUCGGAACACCCAUGGCGAAGGCAGCUCGCUGGCCUGCAACUGACGCUGAGAUGCGAAAGUGUGGGGAGCAAACGGG
rnacentral:rRNA from 1 species